ACCAGAGACUCAGUGAAAUUGAAAUCGCUGUGAAUAUGCAGUGUACCCUCGGUUAGACGGAAAGACCCCGUGAACCUUUACUAAAGCUUUGCACUGGACUUUGAAUAUUAAUGUGUAGGAUAGGUGGGAGACCAUGAAGCAGCAACGCCAGUAGUGGUGGAGUCGUCCUGGAAAUACCACCCUUGAAUAUAUGAAGUUCUAAAUCAGGAGAGAUUCGAGGACAGUGUAUUGUGGGUAGUUUGACGG
rnacentral:rRNA from 1 species